rnacentral:rRNA from 1 species
AUGGCGUUAUUCAAUGACACGCAGGUCAUACAAAAAAUAAAGACAACUCCUAUGGCUCCUGCCGGUUGUCAUACUCAUCGACAUGCAAGUCGUGAAUCCUAUUACAAAGAACAUGAUCUCAUACAUCACAAUUCAUCAUUCAUCACAACUUCUGGCCAUAUCACAUCACAUGAUCAAUCGCUGCAAAAACAAGUUAGACGUCCUCUAAUUGUUGUUGCAUCUUUUACGUGGCUGCAAUUGGGUUCUAGCAAGAACGUUUUCUUACCUACGAAUCACCACAACGUGAUUUUGUCAACUUCUAUUUACCCUUCAUAA